CGAAAGAAUACUCAAUAUUAUACACACUUUUUCGAUUUGAUUUUUGUUUGUUUAGCAAGGCUUAGAACCUCGAAUUACAACCACAAAUCUGUAAUUGCGGAUUCUCGCAUCAACAAACAUCAUUGAAUUCCGUGAAAUCACGACAGUCCAAAUCUAAUCCAGGAACAUACCUCCAGAGAUGUCUUCAUUCGGGGGAUACGACACUAGUCUUAACCAUAUCUUUUGUCGGAAGAUUCAGGAGAACAUGAUCGUUUGGUACGAAUACAAGAUCUGGUGAGAAUGGACGAAGAAGGAAAG